ACAUAAAGGAAGUUUUGAUUCCCUGCUCCAGGAUGAACGCUGGCGGCGUGCCUAAACACAUGCAAGUCGAGCGGAUCUCUUCGGAGAGAGCGGCGGACGGGUGAGUAACGCGUGGGAAACCUGACCUGUACACACGGAUAACAUACCGAAAGGUAUACUAAUACGGGAUAACAUAUGAAAGUCGCAUGGCUUUUGUAUCAAAGCUCCGGCGGUACAGGAUGGACCCGCGUCUGAUUAGCCCCCUUGGUAAGGUAAUGGCUUACCAAGGCAACGAUCAGUAGCCGACCUGAGAGGGUGAUCGGCCACACUGGAACUGAGACACGGUCCAGACUCCUACGGGAGGCAGCAGUGGGGAAUAUUGCACAAUGGGCGAAAGCCUGAUGCAGCAACGCCGCGUGAGCGAUGAAGGCCUUCGGGUCGUAAAGCUCUGUCCUCAAGGAAGAUAAUGACGGUACUUGAGGAGGAAGCCCCGGCUAACUACGUGCCAGCAGCCGCGGUAAUACGUAGGGGGCUAGCGUUAUCCGGAAUUACUGGGCGUAAAGGGUGCGUAGGUGGUUUUUUAAGUCAGAAGUGAAAGGCUACGGCUCAACCGUAGUAAGCUUUUGAAACUAGAGAACUUGAGUGCAGGAGAGGAGAGUAGAAUUCCUAGUGUAGCGGUGAAAUGCGUAGAUAUUAGGAGGAAUACCAGUAGCGAAGGCGGCUCUCUGGACUGUAACUGACACUGAGGCACGAAAGCGUGGGGAGCAAACAGGAUUAAAUACCCUGGUAGUCCACGCCGUAAACGAUGAGUACUAGGUGUCGGGGGUUACCCCCCUCGGUGCCGCAGCUAACGCAUUAAGUACUCCGCCUGGGAAGUACGCUCGCAAGAGUGAAACUCAAAGGAUUUGACGGCGACCCGCACAAGUUUGCGGAUCAUGCU
rnacentral:rRNA from 1 species